rnacentral:miRNA from 1 species
UCCUGUUCGCCCUGUCGGGGCU